GAUGAACGCUGGCGGCGUGCCUAAUACAUGCAAGUCGAGCGAACGGACGAGAAGCUUGCUUUUCUGAUGUUAGCGGCGGACGGGUGAGUAACACGCGGAUAACCUACCUAUAAGACUGGGAUAACUUCGGGAAACCGGAGCUAAUACCGGAUAAUAUUUUGAACCGCAUGGUUCAAAAGUGAAAGACGGUCUUGCUGUCACUUAUAGAUGGAUCCGCGCUGCAUUAGCUAGUUGGUAAGGUAACGGCUUACCAAGGCAACGAUGCAUAGCCGACCUGAGAGGGUGAUCGGCCACACUGGAACUGAGACACGGUCCAGACUCCUACGGGAGGCAGCAGUAGGGAAUCUUCCGCAAUGGGCGAAAGCCUGACGGAGCAACGCCGCGUGAGUGAUGAAGGUCUUCGGAUCGUAAAACUCUGUUAUUAGGGAAGAACAUAUGUGUAAGUAACUGUGCACAUCUUGACGGUACCUAAUCAGAAAGCCACGGCUAACUACGUGCCAGCAGCCGCGGUAAUACGUAGGUGGCAAGCGUUAUCCGGAAUUAUUGGGCGUAAAGCGCGCGUAGGCGGUUUUUUAAGUCUGAUGUGAAAGCCCACGGCUCAACCGUGGAGGGUCAUUGGAAACUGGAAAACUUGAGUGCAGAAGAGGAAAGUGGAAUUCCAUGUGUAGCGGUGAAAUGCGCAGAGAUGUGGAGGAACACCAGUGGCGAAGGCGACUUUCUGGUCUGUAACUGACGCUGAUGUGCGAAAGCGUGGGGAUCAAACAGGAUUAGAUACCCUGGUAGUCCACGCCGUAAACGAUGAGUGCUAAGUGUUAGGGGGUUUCCGCCCCUUAGUGCUGCAGCUAACGCAUUAAGCACUCCGCCUGGGGAGUACGACCGCAAGGUUGAAACUCAAAGGAAUUGACGGGGGCCCGCACAAGCGGUGGAGCAUGUGGUUUAAUUCGAAGCAACGCGAAGAACCUUACCAAAUCUUGACAUCCUUUGACAACUCUAGAGAUAGAGCCUUCCCCUUCGGGGGACAAAGUGACAGGUGGUGCAUGGUUGUCGUCAGCUCGUGUCGUGAGAUGUUGGGUUGAGUCCCGCAACGAGCGCAACCCUUAAGCUUAGUUGCCAUCAUUAAGUUGGGCACUCUAAGUUGACUGCCGGUGACAAACCGGAGGAAGGUGGGGAUGACGUCAAAUCAUCAUGCCCCUUAUGAUUUGGGCUACACACGUGCUACAAUGGACAAUACAAAGGGCAGCGAAACCGCGAGGUCAAGCAAAUCCCAUAAAGUUGUUCUCAGUUCGGAUUGUAGUCUGCAACUCGACUACAUGAAGCUGGAAUCGCUAGUAAUCGUAGAUCAGCAUGCUACGGUGAAUACGUUCCCGGGUCU
rnacentral:rRNA from 1 species